AGAGUUUGAUCCUGGCUCAGGAUGAACGCUAGCGGCAGGCUUAACACAUGCAAGUCGAGGGGCAGCGGGGUGUAGCAAUACACUGCCGGCGACCGGCGCACGGGUGCGUAACGCGUAUGCAACCUACCCAUAACAGGGGCAUAACACUGAGAAAUUGGUACUAAUACCCCAUAAUAUCAUAGAAGGCAUCUUUUAUGGUUGAAAAUUCCGAUGGUUAGAGAUGGGCAUGCGUUGUAUUAG
rnacentral:rRNA from 1 species